CUCUAAAACAACCUGUCCCCACCCAUUUUCCUGCAUUUUCCUUAGAAUGGACUGAUCCGUAUGGGGAAUGAUGUCACCCGCCGGCACAUCCCAGACGCCUGGGGUCAGGGCUGAGGGCAGCUCAGGACCUAACCUCUGACCACGUGUAAAACCAUGAAGAAGACUGCAGUCAUCUUGUUGAUCGUUGUCCUGACUGUACACCUGGUGUCCUAUCUUUAUGUCGUAAAGAAAUACCGCCGACGCUUCAUAGUCAUUGUUCAUCGCCUAAAGCGAGCUAUGCGGACAGGUGAUGAACCAGUGAAAGAUCUUCCCGAUCAGAUUCCCCAGAGCCCGGGCGGAGAAAAAGGCUGAGGAUGCUGUUCAUCCACAGCUGUAAGCACUGGACCCACUACCUUCACCAGACGCCGUGAACAACACCAAUCCGACUGAUCGUCCA